GUCCCCGUGGAUCAAUGCAGAUCGCUCCACUUAAUUGUAAUGGUUGCCGGGGCUCAUUAAUGGAGAGCCGGGUGUUCGAGUCGCCCCGGGGACG